rnacentral:rRNA from 1 species
AAUAUUGCGCAAUGGGGGAAACCCUGACGCAGCGACGCCGCGUGAACGAUGAAGGCCUUCGGGUCGGAAAGUUCUGUCCUCAGGGAAGAAUAAAUGACGGUACCUGAGGAGGAAGCCUCGGCUAACUACGUGCCAGCAGCCGCGGUAAUACGUAGGGGGCAAGCGUUGUCCGGAAUUAUUGGGCGUAAAGGGUGCGUAGUCGGCCUUUUAAGUCGGAUGUGAAAGCCCACAGCUUAACUGUGGGAUUGCAUUGAAACUGAAGGGCUUGAGUAUCGGAGAGGGUAGUGGAAUUCCCAGUGUAGCGGUGAAAUGCGUAGAUAUUGGGAGGAACACCAGUGGCGAAGGCGACUUUCUGGACUGUAACUGACGCUGAGGUACGAAAGCGUGGGUAGCGAACA